GCAAAUAUAUCCACUAAAAUCUACUGAAAUCUGGGAUCACGUUGAACAAAUCCCGAAAAUUCCUCUCUUCCAAUUCUGGGACCUGAUCCGUCAAUGAACAUAAUAGGUGCACAUUAGUAUGUUCAUUUGUUUUCCUACGAAAAUAUCGACGAACAUUAGUAUGUUCAUUUGUUUUUUACGAACAUAUCAACGAACAUAAUAGGUGAACACUAGUAUGUUCAUUGUUUUCCUACGAAAAUAUCGACGAACAUUAAUAUGUUCAUUUAUUUUUUACGAACAUAUCAACGAACAUUAGUAUGUUCAUUAGUAUUUUCUACAAACACUAGGUUAAAACUCCUUAAUCAGCCAAACUUUUGCAUUAUUUUUGCAGAAAUCAACUAACAGAAUUUAUACAAAGGUUCUACCUUUAACCGUUCUAGCAUGAUUUAAAUACCCAACUGGACUUUACAAACCAACAAAUGCAUAAUAACAACCACAAAAUGCAAGCUUUUCUGUGAAUAAGACUAUAGAUCUGUACAAAUUGAAAUGUUGAUAACUAAAGCAUGAGAACAGAACUUGAGUUGCAGUGUUGUUGUGUUUGAGUGAGUAUCGAGUCAGGGCCGUGUCGGGAUGGCGGCGACCUUGCUUCUGGUCGUCCGGCCCAAUGAGAAAUAAACAGAGAUAGAGGGGUGCACGGCGGCGGCAUAUUGACUGCUGUCACCAAUUUGACGGAGGCAGCUCUUGCUGCUGUCGUCCGACAGAGACGGAGAGAGAGAGGGAGGGAGUUGGUGAAGAGGGUGGCCUUCGCCGACUGGAGACUGUGCGUGGACGCGGUUGCCGGAUAAUCGAGGCUAGAGGUGGUAGAUUUUGGAGAUUUUGGGGAUCGAGGCUGGAGGCUGGAGGAUUAGGGUUCGGAGAUUGGGAAAGGAGGCGAGAGAAGGGGGAAUGAAGGGGAUAGCGGCGGUAUCGGAGGGAGAAUGGAGAAGGAGGCGGCAGCCAUAGUGCCGGCGCCGCAGCGACUGCUCGCCGGAGAAGGAGGUAGCGGCGGCUGCAGAUUCUGAGGGAGAGGGAGAAAUCGAGAGUGAGAGAUGGGAU
rnacentral:lncRNA from 1 species